UCACCAAAAGUGCCACGUUCACCGAGAGGGGGGCUUUUCAGAAGCGACGACGGUUAGAACAAAUAGAAGAUCUGAAAGAAGCAUAUGAUAGUUUCAAAGCAACACAAGAUUGUGGACAGUCCGGAGGUACAGAUAUUCAGCAGGACAUGUCAACAUUCGAGCCUGUUCAAACUUGUGUUGAGUCUGGCAGUGGAAAACACCAUUUCGAGUGUCAGGUGUCAUUGGCAGUUCCCAAGGCAAAAAUACAUCUUCGCACAAGACGGAUUCAGACAUUACCUGUCCGAAGAAUCACAAGAUGCAUUCAGGCAAG